GGUUGAAGAGAAAAAAUUUCUCCUGGUGCCUCUGUCACCCCAGUGAUCGCCAGGGUUGAUUCAGCUGAUCUGAGUGGCUAGGCGGGUGUCCCCUUCCUUCCCCUUCCCCUUCCUCACUGCUCCAUGUGCACCCCCUCAGGAAGCUGCGUGGAAGAGGGUGACCAUCCCAAACAGGAGUGUACCGUUCUUUGGUCAAGGAUAUAGGAUAGCUGCUCUAUUAAGGCGCCAGAAGAGCAUCCCAAGGGGGAGCAUUCCACAAAUG